GUUACUUCUGUAUGUGCACUGUA
rnacentral:piRNA from 1 species